rnacentral:lncRNA from 9 species
UUAGACAUCCUGCUGGCACGAUUUUAAAUCGUAAUCUUGUUAUAUUGGUCACAAAAAAAGAAGCAAAACAAAAAGCUUUAAGCCUGAAAAAUGAUAGGAAUACAAACAACAGAGUUUUAGUUUAUAUUUUUUCCUUUCGGCCACUGAUACUUAACGUCUUUUCAUGCACUAUUACCAGCCAUGUAUCUCUUUUGAACUGAUUUAUGAUAAUCCUGACACUCAUCUUUGCAUAGCGAUUUGGUUAGUCUCGAUGUUGCUAUGUUUAAAUCAUUUCAUAUCAUUAAUUCGGGUUAAAACGCACUUAUUUAUUUUGCUGUUAUUGAUGUUGCUGAACCUGUUUUAUACUUAGACUUCUCUCAGCUGGCUUCUGUGUCCCUUUGACAUACUACCAUUGCUGAACUGUUUUGUUUUGGAGCACUUACUUUUCAGCAAUACAAAACAUUCCAUUCACCUUGUAUAUUUCCCGUCCCGGUUCUAGAAUCAGCCAUUUCUACAGGGUUUUGCUCUGCUGGUUUGCUCUGCUGGUUCUGCUCUGCUGGUUCUGCUCUGCUGGUUCGCUCUGCUGGUUUUGCUCUGCUGGUUCGCUCUGCUGGUUUUGCUCUGCUGGUUUGCUCUGCUGGUUUUGCUCUGCUGGUUCUGCUCUGCUGGUUUGCUCUGCUGGUUUUGCUCUGCUGUUUGGUUUGCUGGUUCACAGGGUUUCUUUUUUGGGAGAAUGGUAUUAGAAACCAAGAUCUGGAUGAUAAAUGGGUUUUGCUACUGAGGCAACACUGUCUCUGGGCAAUCUUGGCUGACAGAGCAAAGAAAUACACACACGUAUACUAACCCAUAUGUAUACGCAUAUCUAUUAAUGUAUUUACAUACAAUGAUCUUUAUCUGUAUGAAGAUGAACACGAGUUCUGAGGGGCAUCUUCAAGUCUAAUCCAAUGAAUUUGGAGUAACAUCAAGGUGAAUACACUACUGCAUGGAUUAUUCUUCUUUUGUCUUGCUUAUCCCUAAUUUCCCAUUUUAACAGUGACAAACCUGGCUUCCAUCUCUAUUUAAUGUUAAAUGUUAGUAUACAUCAAUAGUAGUAUCAGAACUGUUAACCUGUAUACGUUGGGGGGAAAAAGAAAAACUUUUAUCAACUAGAGAACAGUGCUUAUGCGCAGUGCCUUCUGCCGUUAGUCUUACAGACUCCACUUAGAAGUGAAGUCACUAAGGUCGUGGCCUCAUUUCCCCUUCAUUUGGGUUAUUUCCUACACUUGUAACACAAUUAGAUUAUUUUGCUACCAUCUGCAUUCUAAGUUUCCUCCAACCUACCAAAUAAUGUUUUAGUUUAUAAACAUUAGAGUUCACUCUUGGUAUUGUAGAAUUUUUUGGUUUAGACAAAUGUAGAUUUCAUAAAUGCAUCAUUACUGUACAUUACAC